rnacentral:lncRNA from 1 species
ACUGCUCAAUGCUGCUGCACUUCCGGGAAGCACAGCCACAUGGAGACUCCACGGAGGGGUUCCCCACCUGAGCAGCCAGCCACAGCCUGCCUUCCCCGCCGGUCUCAGGGCAAUCUGAUCACGUCCAUGGGCAUCAACAGGAUAAGAAUUUGCAGAAGAUGAAACAGAUGAAAUCAAACACUCUUAAAUAACAGAUGAUUCUUCUAGAACUCCAGUGUUACAUCAUGUUUCUGCAUUACAUCUGCAGUGACAGCUUGUUGACCAAGAACUCACUGUGACACAAUUCAUUCUGGCAUUAGUGUCCCUCCAUGAGGCAAAACUGUCUACCCAAUCCCGCCUGAACUACUUCCCAGCCAUC